rnacentral:tRNA from 1 species
UGGUGGUUCAGUGGUAGAAUGCUCGCUUUCCAUGUGGGAGACCUAGAUUCAAUUCCCAGCCA